CGGCUAACUUUUUUGUAUUUUUAGGAGAGAUGAGGUUUCACCAUGUUGAUCCGGCUGGUCUCGAACUUCUGACCUCAGGUGAUCCACUUGCCUCGGCCUCCCCAAGUGCUGGGAUUACAGGCAUGAGCCACCGCUUCCGGCCUGCCUUUGCUUUUAAAUGCAAGCUUAUAACGAAGUACGAGCCAAAAAUGCUUCAUUUAAAAUCAUUUGACAGCCACAGAUUAUUACUUUAAACCUGCUGGAGUGACCAGUUCUCAGGACUGGAAGUUGUAGAAAUGACCAAGUAAGGAGGAUGGUUUUGUGUACAUGUAGCUCAUCACUGAAAUCAACACAGAGUUUCCCUAUGUUUAAUGUCAGGUCACCUACACAUGUGCAUGUGGUAAAUAUAUACAUCAUUAUAUUGAGCACUACCAGGAACAGAAACAUCUAAUUUCUUUUUGGUGGAAAAUACAGAAAAUUCUUUCACAAAAACAGAGAAAAGAAAAAGAAAAAACAUACAAUUUUGGGUUUCCUAUGAAUUUCUGAGUAGAAAAACAACAUCUAAGGUUACUAUUUUAAAAUCAAAUUAGAUAACUUUUUAUGACAGGAAACUAUCCGAACAAUGACACCUUACUUCCUGUAAACUAUGAGUAAAUUCCACACAUUCCCAUGUUUACAUAACCACAGCCCAGGGCUACAAUUCCCACAUCUUAGUCACAUAAAUAUGUGUUUCGUUUAUCAUUAGAAAAUAAACAUGCUUUAUAUUCUGAGGUCUAACUUAAUGGUUUGAACAAUAUGUAAAAGACUAAACAAACUAAAAUAUGUGAAACAUUAACACUUGAGAAAGGUUUACAUGGUCCCAGUUUACUUCCACUUUUACUGAGACAUCACUGCUGAAUAAUUGAAAGGCUCUCAAAAAACUCCAAUCUAAUUUUGUGUUAUUAAUCUGAACAUCUUUCCUAACAAAGUUCUUUCAUCACUGGAAAUAUGGCAACCCUUUUCCCUUCCUAGCCUAGAAGCAGCAAUGAAUUGACACAAGACACAGACUGCUCUGAAAUCACAAACGUGUUUGGGAUUUCUUAAGCUAAAAGGAAAAGGGAAAGGGAAAGGCUUAAAGCAGCAUUGCCCAAAAGGAGUUCCCUGGAACACCCAGAACACCAGUCCCCUGAGAUAGCCAUUGACACAUGGCCGAGGUCUGAUAAUUGCCAUCCAUAGUUUGUCCCUCUUGGAGGGUCACAGAAGUUCACACAGUUAAGAUCCUGCUUACCCUUGUUUAACUCUACAUCCCCAUACUUAUUUGACCCCUCCUUUUUUCUAGUAACAUGAUUAACAUUCCACAGGCACCUCGGGCAUUGCUGGUUGGGUCAGUUCUGUUAAAUUUAUGACCUGGUAUUUUGGACAAUCAUUGAGUCGAUCCUGAGAACCAACCUGGUUUGUCAGAUGUCAAGAUGUUUUGAUGUUUUGUCAAGAUGUUUGAUCUUGCAAAGUCAUGAUAACCCCACACCAGCAGAAAGAACAAGUGUCAGUCUUUUUUGUCCCUCAUCCAGUUUCUUUCCGGCCUGUUAGCACUUCCAAGUCCCUUUGGUAGUAAAUGUUCUUUCUGAGAUGCAGGGUGUCUGGUCUGACAGUGACUACCAAUUUCCUCUUUGGUAUCUACCUGAGGGAGUUGCCAAAACUGCCAUUACAAAAAAAGGAAGGCACCCCUAUUUUCCACCCACACUGCUUUCCUGUCAUAGAAUAUGCAGAUAUGCCUGAUCCGUCACCAUACUUAAGAGCUCCAUCUCUGGAGUCACACUGCCUGGGUUCAAAUUCCAGGCUUCACUGCUUCACAGAUGUUACACUGGGCAAAUUGCUUUGCCCCUCUGAGCCACAGUUUUUUCAUCUGUAACACAGGAGAACAAUAAAAGUACCCACCUUUUAAAGAAAAGAUUAAAAAUGACAAUGCUUGUGCUGGGCACCUAACAAAUAUUUACAGCUAUUAUUUCUCAUUCCUCUGACCCCCUUCAUAGCUAAUGUAGUUUUAACAGCUAGGACAGAGGACAGAGGAAAUGGAAACCAUAGGGGAAGAGGAAGAAGGGUGUCUGCGGAUGUUUUAGCUAUAUUUACACUGUGAGAUGCAGAAGACAGAGAGACAAAAGCAGAGAUCAGAGCUUCAAGGCCCAGAAAAGUAACAGGUGAGUCCCAGACUGAAAAAGAAAAACCUGAUCUAAAAGAACAGGCCUCCAUUUAUGAGACCCUGCCUAGCGCUUCGAUAUUCAUCAUGCCAAAAGCUUGGGUUCAAGCCCCAUGGGAUGUAUGUGGCUUCUUUCUAUUCAACAGCCCCCAUAUGUCACCUUAACAAAGGUACGGAGCUGGUGGGUUAACACAAAUUCAGUCACCAUCACUGGGGCCACAUUCCCCCGAUUCCCUGACACACCUCCCCAACUAUGGGAGGGCAAACAGAGCUGAGUCCCUUGAUCUAUUUGGUAGAAGAAGUGGAUGCUCAAUAAAUAUUUGUUGAAUAAAUAAGUGUCUGAAUGAAAGACAAUCAGGUAAGUACAUGAAUAACUGAGGGUGAAUAGCAGAGUGAUUAUUAGUUUUCAAGCAAUUUCUAUUUAUCUUUUAGGACAAGGAUGGGCAAACUUUUUCUGUAAAGAGCCACAUAGUGAAUAUUUUAAGCUUUGUGGUUCCUAUGAUCUCUGUUGCAAUUACCCAACUCUGCACUGUAGUUUGAAAGCAGACAUAGACAAUAUGUCAAUGAAUGGACACAGUUGUGUUUCAUUAAAAGUUUACAUACGUACACAGAAAUCUGAAGUUUGCAUAAUUUUCAUGUCAUAAAUUCUUCUUUUUUUUCCCUACCCGUUUAAGAAUGUAAAAAUCUUUUGGCUCACAAGUCAUAUAAAAACAGGUGACAGGCAGAGGUGACCCUUGAGCUAUAGUUUGCGGGAUCCUGUUUUAGAAAAUAAGUAAGACUGGACGCGGUGGCUCACGCCUGUAAUCCCAGCACUUUGGGAGGCCGAGGGAAGUGGAUCAUCUGAGGUCAGGAGUUCCAGACCAACCUAACCAACAUGGAGAAACCCUCUCUCUACUAAAAAU
rnacentral:lncRNA from 1 species